rnacentral:rRNA from 1 species
CCUACGGGAGGCAGCAGUGGGGAAUAUUGGGCAAUGGGCGCAAGCCUGACCCAGCAACGCCGCGUGAAGGAAGAAGGCUUUCGGGUUGUAAACUUCUUUUGUCAGGGACGACGCAAGUGACGGUACCUGACGAAUAAGCCACGGCUAACUACGUGCCAGCAGCCGCGGUUAUACGUAGGUGGCAAGCGUUAUCCGGAUUUACUGGGUGUAAAGGGCGUGUAGGCGGGAAAGCAAGUCAGAAGUAAAAACCACGGGCUCAACCUGGGGGCUGAUUUGGAAACGGUUUAUCUUGGGUGCUGGGGAGGAAAGGGGAAUGCCGAGGUGAGGGGGGAAAUGCGGAGAUAUGAGGAGGA